UCCAACUUAUCGCUGGCGGUCUCCUGAGAGUGCUCCCUUACGGGGUGGCAACACAGGACAAGGGUUGCGCUCGUUGCGGGACUUAACCCAACAUCUCACGACACGAGCUGACGACAGCCAUGCAGCACCUCGACUCAAGUCUCUUGCGAGAAGUCCCUGUUUCCAAGGAUGUUCUUAAGCCGUUCGAGCCCAGGUAAGGUUCUUCGCGUUGCGUCGAAUUGAACCACAUGCUCCACCGCUUGUGCGGGCCCCCGUCAAUUCCUUUGAGUUUCAAUCUUGCGAUCGUACUUCCCAGGUGGGAUGACGUAGGAGGAAUUCCA
rnacentral:misc_RNA from 1 species